UGAAAGAGAGAGGGCAGCGGAAUGACGAACCGCAGUCAGUGAAUUACAAGUCGAAAUGUUUACAACCCGCAAAAACACUUUAAACGGAUUACAACAGCUGCCAGAAAGUGUGCGCAAAGGGGCAAGGAUAAAGGAUGCCCAACAGGACCGAGGACGAAGUUCAGGGGUCAGCAGGCAUUGAAAUUGAAGCAACUUUUGCGCUUUUGCCUUCGGCUGUGUCGUCUCAGAUUUUGCGUGAUUUAAUGAGCCGCAGCUCAGAUUGAUGAAUGACAUGCAGGAAUGUCAAGUGCGAAGUAAAAGCAUUCAAUGAGCUGGAAGUGUGAUAGCUGAGCACUGGUAAAAGAGCAAAGUAUCCCAGUCAUCAAGUCGACUAAUUCAUUAAGCAUCAAGUUAUAUCCUGGCAAUGUGCAAACGUCGCACAAAACGUGCCACAGGCGCAGGAAUGUCAGACUCAAAUGGAUGUGCGUGAGUGCGACAUCGCCGUGCGACUACAGUGAGCACUCGAGUUGAGGGUCAGUUUAAGUAUAUACACUUUUGCCUGCUUAUCCUCAGCGAUUGAAACAACAAAUCAAUUUAUCAAACACUUUCAAGAUGGCAACUGAAACAGCAAAAACCAAGAGGACAUCCUGGCUAACAAACACAAAGUAUAAAGAAUUUGUUCGAAUAAAAAGCACAACAAAUAGGAAAUGUUUCUGGAAAUGGAGGAGAAUGAAACUUUUUAGUCAGUUUUAGAAUGACAGCACUAACGGCGGUAAAACGAAAAGCAGAGCGGCGAAAUCGAACGACGAAUUCGACGAAGUACACAUUCAAGAACGAAGAGAUGCUGAGUGAGCGCGGGAAACGGGACGGCAACAGGCGGAACGGAACGAAAUGGUAUGGAACGGAACACACCCACACACACACAUACGCACACGCAUUGCAAUGCGCAACAAUUUGGCAUUGGAGAAAAUUCCAAAAAGCUUUUGGAAAAGCUAAAUACCAAGGAGCGGGAAAAUGAUAAAUUCAAAGAAGAAAUUAUUUAUUAUUUAUAACACCCACGGAAUAUUUAUAAAUAAAGCGAUAUUUUUUAAAUAGCAAGCAUUCUAGAAUUUAAAUGACCAUAUAAUAAAUAAGCACAUGCCAAU